UAUGAAUGGAAAAUAUAUUGGAUAUAUAAGAGUAGUUAAAUGUCGAUGCUUUUGUCUAUUUCUUUUUUAAAAUAGAUGGCACACAGCAAAAGGUUGCUCUAUGCCGGCUGAUUGCGGUGGUAUUUUCGGAGAUAGCAAUGCUACCAAUCUCGGUUGUUUUGCUCAAAACUUAAACAUAUCUACCGCUUUGCAUGCAGAGCUCAUCAGGGUUAUGUAUACAAUUGAGAUAACUUCAUAAAAAGGUUAGAUCUCUCUGCGGAUGCACGGGUCUCUUACUAGCAAGGGGUGACAAAAAAAAAUGUAGACAAUAAUAAAACCAAAGAAGUACUAGCAAUUAAAAGCUUGAAACAAAGAAGGUAAUCAUGGUCAUGAAUUAACAACUACUAUUAACUUGUCUUUUUUUCUUUUCUUAGUAAAAAAGAAAAAGUAAUAAUGAAACAUGUACGAAUGAGUCAAAAAAAGUAAACUUUAUUAAGAAAAAUAAACCGAAAGUUUCUCCAAUAGUCCAAGCAAAACAAUUGAAGGAAACCAUAUGAAGAAAUUGAAAAAACAAAGAAACCCAGAAACAGAGAUGAAGUUAAGAAGCAUAAAGUUUACUCACCUUCAUCUGUCAUACAACCCAGUAGAGCACAUCUGAGAAUGAAUGAAUCAAGGAGAAUACUUUGUUGAUGUGUGUGCAGUGUGCUAGCUAAAAGAUCAAGGAGUUUGGGUAAAACACUAAAACAUGAUGAAUCUAUGAGAAACAGUUAGUGUGUGUGGGUUGUGUUGUGCUUGAAUUGAAUAUCAUUUGUGACAGCAAUGGUGCUCUGUAAAUUGGUGUUUUUCUGUGGGCUUGCUUACGGACAAUUAACAAUAGUAAUAAUAAUACGGUGUAAUAAAUAAUAGGAUCAAUUAUUACUCUAUAUAAAAAUAUAUUC
rnacentral:lncRNA from 1 species